CGCCCUAAACGAUGUCUACUAGUUGUUGGUGGAGUAAAUCCAUGAGUAACGCAGCUAACGCGUGAAGUAGACCGCCUGGGAGUACGGUUGCAAGAUUAAAACUCAAAUGAAUUGACGGGGGCCCGCACAAGCGGUGGAUUAUGUGGAUUAAUUCGAUGCAACGCGAAAAACCUUACCUGGCCUUGACAUGUAACGAACUUUCCCAGAGAUGGAUUGGUGCUCGAAAGAGAACGUUAACACAGGUGCUGCAUGGCUGUCGUCAGCUCGUGUCGUGAGAUGUUGGGUUAAGUCCCGCAACGAGCGCAACCCUUGCCAUUAAUUGCCAUCAUUUAGUUGGGCACUUUAAUGGGACUGCCGGUGACAAACCGGAGGAAGGUGGGGAUGACGUCAAGUCCUCAUGGCCCUUAUGGCCAGGGCUUCACACGUAAUACAAUGGUCGGUACAGAGGGUCGCCAACCCGCAAGGGGGAGCCAAUCCCAGAAAGCCGAUCGUAGUCCGGAUUGAGGUCUGCAACUCGACCUCAUGAAGUCGGAAUCGCUAGUAAUCGCGGAUCAGCAUGUCGCGGUGAAUACGUUCCCGGGCCUUGUACACACCGCCCGUCACACCAUGGGAGUGGGUUUACCAGAAGUAGGUAGUCUUACUCG
rnacentral:rRNA from 1 species